rnacentral:rRNA from 1 species
GAUGAACGCUGGCGGCGUGCCUAAUACAUGCAAGUCGAGCGAACAGAUAAGGAGCUUGCUCCUUUGACGUUAGCGGCGGACGGGUGAGUAACACGUGGGUAACCUACCUAUAAGACUGGAAUAACUCCGGGAAACCGGGGCUAAUGCCGGAUAACAUUUAGAACCGCAUGGUUCUAAAGUGAAAGAUGGUUUUGCUAUCACUUAUAGAUGGACCCGCGCCGUAUUAGCUAGUUGGUAAGGUAACGGCUUACCAAGGCAACGAUACGUAGCCGACCUGAGAGGGUGAUCGGCCACACUGGAACUGAGACACGGUCCAGACUCCUACGGGAGGCAGCAGUAGGGAAUCUUCCGCAAUAGGCGAAAGCCUGACGGAGCAACGCCGCGUGAGUGAUGAAGGUCUUCGGAUCGUAAAACUCUGUUAUUAGGGAAGAACAAAUGUGUAAGUAACUGUGCACGUCUUGACGGUACCUAAUCAGAAAGCCACGGCUAACUACGUG